AGUGAGCGGCAGGGCGGAGAACAAGAGGAGACAUCUGAAGGGUUUAACCCUCCUCUCCUCAACCAUCCCAUUCCAGAAAAAAAAAGCUCCUCUCGUCCCCACAAAAAUGAUUAUAGUUAUAUAAGUUUUCCUCCCACUCCCUCCAUCUUCUCAACAAUCAGCAGAGGUGUUGUCAUGGCAACCCUCACCCCUCCUCCGGACGUCAGAGCUGGGUGCUUGAGGAUGAAGCCGUAUGCAGCUCCAGUCUCUGGCGCCUCUCAGAGAGCACCUGUGAUUUCCGCGGCUGUCGUGUGGCGGCGGGAUCUGCAGGCGUCCGAAUCCGAUCCCAUGGUUGUUAGGAGUCGGGAGCUCCGCUCUUCAUCAGGAACCGUCACUGUCAGACGCCGGAGGACCAACUGACAUCCACAGCAGCCACCAUGUCUUGGUUGUUCUUGGACUGGUUCAUCCCCCUCUACCUGCUGGUGUCCGUUUUGGUUCUGGCCGGCUUCGGAGCGUGUCUUUACUUCCUCGAGCCUGGGCUGCAGGAUGCUCACAAGUGGAGUAGCAAAACAUUUCGGCAUCACCCGCUAGUGGCCAGCGUGAACUGCAGAGAUGACGAUAGCAAUGCCCUGAUAUGACCAGGGGGCAAGGCGGGUGAGCAGUAAACCAUCUGGACAGGGGUGCAGGCUCCACAUCGCCCUCCAGGGACACGGGGCCAACACUUUGACAAAGCCUGAACAUACAGAGGACAGAGACUGCCUGAUCAUGAAACCUUGUUCUGUCUCAUUCCAGCUUUUUUCUGUAAAAAAAAAAAAAUUGAGUUAAAGAAACUUAAAGAGAGGAGGAACACAGGAGGAGACAGGGAGGUAAACAGAGGAAGCCCUUUAGGGUCUGUAACCAUCAUGACAUCAAAACGUGUCAGUACUUUUUGUAGUUUGACAAUCACUUCCCAUGAAGCUGUCUAUUGUGCAUUUAAUCAUAGUCAUGAGAGUGCAAUGUCUUUAUUGUUGCUGGGGAGGGAUGUCUGUCCUCCCCCCUGAUGUCAGCAUGGUGCUGCUGUGCAAAAACGCUGUAACCUAAAUAAAGAAAAACAGAAGCAGUUGUUAGAAGAUGCCAAGAUAACCUCAGAUAUUUUUAGAUGUUCAUUGUUUUUCCAUCAAAGCAUAAUAAAAAAAUUUUUGGUUGUGUAAUAA